UACAGAGGGUGCGAGCGUUAAUCGGAAUUACUGGGCGUAUAGCGCGCGUAGGCGGCUUGUUAAGUCGGAUGUGAAAUCCCCGGGCUCAACCUGGGCACUGCAUUCGAUACUGGCAAGCUAGAGUAUGGGAGAGGAAGGUAGAAUUCCAGGUGUAGCGGUGAAAUGCGUAGAGAUCUGGAGGAGUACCGAUGGCGAAGGCAGCCUUCUGGCCUAAUACUGACGCUGAGGUGCGAAAGCAUGGGGAGCAAACAGG
rnacentral:rRNA from 1 species